rnacentral:tRNA from 1 species
GCCAAGGAGUUACAAAUCGAAUUAGCGAUUCGUAAUGAUCAGGUCGUCGGUUCAAAUCCGACCAUUGGCUCCA